CGCAGCCCCUGGAUCUGUGCAGUUACCAGCAAAUCCCUUGAGAACUUUCCCCUCUGACACCCGGGAAAUGAGACUUUGGCUCCAUGUAGUGUUCCUUGCAGUGGCUUUGGAAGGUGUCCAGUCCCAGGUGCAGCUGGUGGAGUCCGGAGGGGAUGUGAAAAAGCCCGGAGACUCUCUCCGCCUCUCCUGCAAAGCCUCCGGGUUCAUCUUCAGCAGCUACGCUAUGAGCUGGGUCCGGCAGGCUCCAGGGAAGGGGAUGGAGUGGGUCUCAUACAUUUACACUGAUGGGAGCCAACAAUUUUACAGAGACUCAGUGAAAGGCCGAUUCACCAUCUCCAGAGACAACCCCAACAACCUGCUGUAUCUGCAAAUGACUGGCCUGAAGCCCGAGGACACCGCCCGGUAUCACUGUGCGGGACACACAGUGAGGGGAAGCCGGGCUGAGCUCAGACAAAAACCUGCCCUCGCUGGCUAAGGACAAACUCUCCGCUGGGGGCGCUGGAGUUCUACAGCUCGCAGCGGAGAGACAGUGAGCGAGAAAACUCCUGUCCUCCGCUGCCUGUCUGUGACUCUCACACACACAG